UGUUCCGUGUGUUAACUGCGUACGUUGACGUCGUGAUACAGUUGUCCUAAUGCGUUUCCCUGCGUACUAGUGCUAUGUCAACUAAUGUACGAUCGACGGGUAACCACUGUGUCAUCUUCGGAUGCACGAACAACUACCGGAAACGAAAAAUGCUGGAGAAUGAAGUCUGUGAAGUGCACGGCCAGCAGCGCGGGCAUUGCGGUUGCAAACUGUUUCACCUGCACAGAUUUCCGCAUGACGAUGAGGAGCGUCGGCAGUGGAUAGCAUGCGUAAACAGAAAGGAUUUUACGCCCUCACAGUCAUCUCGCGUGUGCUCUGAACACUUUGUCGAUGGAAGAAGAACAGAGAGGAACCCGACGCCGAUGAUCAACCUUGGCUAUGAAAGAAAGGUGAAGGUCGGUCGACGGCGCAUUCUAAGGCAACCCUACCUGCCGAGAAAAAAACGAAAAGUUCGUCCCGACGAAACGCAACCAAG